rnacentral:rRNA from 1 species
UACGUAGGGUGCAAGCGUUAAUCGGAAUUACUGGGCGUAAAGCGUGCGCAGGCGGUUUUUCAAGACCGAUGUGAAAUCCCCGGGCUUAACCUGGGAAUGGCAUUGGUGACUGGAAGGCUAGAGUGUGUCAGAGGGGGGUAGAAUUCCACGUGUAGCAGUGAAAUGCGUAGAGAUGUGGAGGAAUACCGAUGGCGAAGGCAGCCCCCUGGGAUAACACUGACGCUCAGGCACGAAAGCGUGGGGAGCAAACAGGAUUAGAAACCCCCGUAGUCC